rnacentral:piRNA from 1 species
UCGAGAAAACACAUCAGUAUUGUGCUGC